rnacentral:rRNA from 1 species
AACAGUCUAGCGCCUAAUUCCGCGUCCUCGACGGGCGCCAGGGAUAUGUGGCGUUCGGGAGGAGGUCUUCCGGCGUUCGGUGGCGGUGCAAGUCCCCCUGACUGGGGCUCUCUCCCCGAGCGGGUGCAAGGCCCAUAGCUGCCGUUCACCGACGUCGGAUGUCCCCUCUCUCGAGUCGGGUUGCUUGGGAAUGCAGCCCAAAUUGGGUGGUAAACUCCACCUAAGGCUAAAUACUGCCGCGAGACCGAUAGCGAACAAGUACCGUGAGGGAAAGUUGAAAAGCACUUUGAAGAGAGAGUUAAACAGUACGUGAAACCGUUGAGAGGCAAACGGGUGGGCCUUCGAAUUCGAACGGCGGGAGGAUUCAGUCGAACGGCGAUAGGAGGACGGUUUGCGGAGGGACUCCCGACUUCUAAGGAGCCUGCCGCCAACCGCCCGUCUCCUAGCGAUCGGCGCAUUUUCUUCCGCCACUCACUGACGCUGCGACCGGUCGAAUCGACGGCCAUAAGGGCGGACGACGGAAGGUUUCCGGUCGACGGGGGGAUCUCUUCCCGUGGACCGGUGUUAUAACCAGUCUGCCGUGGGCUUGUUCGUGRGACCGAGGACAUAUAGACCCUCUGUGGUCACGACGCAUCCUUCUCUUUUAGAGAAGCGGGUCGCCCGACAGGUUUUUCGCUCACGGAAGGCGCUUUCACCCGCGCGUGUUCGUCUUCCGGGAGUGAUCCGCUGGCUCGGUGCGAUUUCCCGCCUUGAUGCCUGACGUCGGCAGCGAGUAGGUCGGUCACCCACCCGACCCGUCUUGAAACACGGACCAAGGAGUCUAACAUGUGCGCGAGUCAUAGGGUCUUGUUCAUGCCCGUAGGCGAAAUGAAAGUGAAGGGCGAUUUUAGUCGUCCGCGUUGGGACCCCGUCUCACGACGUGGAGCACCAACGACCCGUCCCGAUCGCAACGUCGAUGGGGCGGAGCGAGAGCGUACACGUUGGGACCCGAAAGAUGGUGAACUAUGCCUGGGCAGGACGAAGCCAGAGGAAACUCUGGUGGAGGUCCGCAGCGAUUCUGACGUGCAAAUCGAUCGUCAGACCUGGGUAUAGGGGCGAAA